AGAGCUCGGAGUCCUCGCACUGCAUGUCAGGCAGCGGUUCCAGCGGCUCUGACAGCGGCUGUGUCUCCAGCAUCCCACAAGAAAGCUUCUGUGAAGAUGUGGGCACACCACCGUACAUGCCUCUUGGCUCACAGCACAGCUCAGCCGUGGUGGAGAAACCUCGAUUCCCCAACAGCCAGUACAUUUCUGCAAAAGCAGGCCAGGUCACCAUAAGUCCCUCGACAAUAGUGUGAGCCCCUCUGCACACGUAUACCGCCUAAGGAAGCGGAGUUGUUGUAAGUAGCCCCUGAAGGGGAUUUUCCAGCAGCUCUGCGUGCUGGUCAGGUUUGUCAGGGGAACUUCACCUUCAGCUUCUCAAUGAAAAGUUGUCCACACGCAUUCCUGACUGGUCUCUGAGUUCUGAUUCAUCUGGUCAGAGAAGACAAGCUCCCAUAGAGCUGUCACCUCAUACAGUCCACCUGUUGCCUCCCUGGUUUGAAGCAGAAGCAAAACAAGCAAAAUCCCUUCCAGGUAGCAGAGGCUUGAGCACCACCUUAGUCACUGGUGUUCAGAUGAGCUGCUUUCCUCUGAAUGCUGCCCAGCUGUCUAACCACUAAUCUGUUUCUUGUGGCUGUUCGCUGAAAUCCUGCUCUUAGAUAUUCCCUCUGAACUGCUGUGGAGAACUCACGGUAUUCUCCCCAAGCUGGAUUUAUCCCACAGUUUCCUUUGAACUUCCAAAGGAAACUGCACAUGGCUAGGUGGAGGAACCUGGGCCAGGAUGCCCGAGGGAGCAGCUGAUUUCUGGAGGAUGCCUUCCCGGCCAAGAAAUGGCUGCUGAUCUGAGGAGAGAGAGUGCUGGUGUGGGUGCCAGCCCUUGGAAAGUCAUGUCAUGGCCCACUCACAUCAGCCACCUUCUGGCUUAGCUCCUUCCUCUCUGGCCUUAGGGUUGAGCCUCCCUGCUCACAGAGAGCAGAGGGGAAUGCACAUAAGGGAGGCAGGAUCAGGGCUGGAGUGGCCAAGGCACAGGGCAGUAGGUGACUGGUAGGUUUGGCACUGUGGGCUGUGACAACCACACAGGCUCAUGGCUCAUGAUCCACAGGUACACAGUUCAAACCAGCUAAACAGAACCAGCCAAAGUUAAAAUGUAAUACCCUGAGCUGCUGGGGGAGUCACAGAUGGGGCUUUAGAAGUGGCUGCUGCCAGGACUGAGCCUUGGGGCGAGCCCUCAUGUGCAGAUCUCCUCACAGGGGAAGAGCAGUGCUUCUCCUGCAAGGCUUUUCCAGUAAAACACUCCUUCCCCACCCAAACACAGCUCUGACAAACAGUGGUUCUCAAACGUUUUCCAAGAUCACCAGGACAGAGGGACCGUGGGUCCUGCCCCAUGGCGGGAAUGCAGCCAGUCUAACCCAUUGCACGCUGCUGUGUUCCAGGUUUGAUUGCCAUUUCAAACUCCCUGAAGACCUCUGACCAGCAGAAGGAGACAGUCUUCACCCAUGAAGAUACAUUUUUCUUACACAUAAUCACAAAAAGCCCCAAAUGUGACCUGUGACUAGGGGGAAGUCCCAGGAAGGGACUACACAUAAUAGCUUUGGUGUCGGAUGGGGCCUUGGGGAUUCAAAACAUGUUUGCCCUGUAUUUAUGAGUAAUAGUAACAUAGCUGUUUGGAGAUAAAGAAAAAAGUAUUAUUUUUAAAGCUAAGAGCUGUACAGAUUUUGUUACAAGUGACUCUCUUACUAUUUGUUCUUGAAGCUGCACAUUUUAUAAAGUUUUUGGAAGGGCAUGAAGAGAAACUGAGCUAUUUAAGUAAAAGUAGUGUAACGUUCUGUUUCAGGGUUAUAUUGGCCUGGAGCUCAAGAUUUAACGUCCUUUGUUAUGUUCUAAAUAUGUCUAUCGUAGCAGUAAUUUAUUUUCUUGGCUUAACACUUCUGUUUUAAUAAAAGCAAUUUCAUUGUUAUAGUGAAUUGUUUCUUCAGAUGAUUCUUCCAGCGCUGCAGUGCUGAGCUUAUCUCUGUGGUAACCACCUGUCAGCUCCUCUGCUCUCCCUGUGCCACUUCUGCACUAACCAGCUGCUGGCUAAACCGUGUCAACCCUGCACAUGUUCCUGGGAGAGGGGAGAAUUCCCUGAUGCCAGUGGGAAGGCCAAGGCAGAGCAGGGAGCAGCCAGCAGAGAGGAGUGUGGAAGAGGGGGGUGGUCUGAGGUCACCAAGCUUCUGGCUCUAAUUUAAGCCAUUUCCCAGUGUGGCUGCUAUUCUAGUGCCACAUGUCCUCUGUGCCCAUGGGUCAGGUCCCAUGGCAUGGGGUGCAAGUGGCAGAGCUCAAACCUCAUCGUGCCUUGGCCUGGUGAGGCGCUGGGUUUUGGGGUGAUGGGGCCCAGCCACUCACAUCGCCUCCACCUCAGCUCCUCUCCACGUACUCCAGUCUGUGGUUGUGGCUUGUUUGAGGAGCUUGGUGUGGUGGGAGCAUCCAAGACGAGCAGGUUUGGGUUGUGAUUGGUUGAUUGUAAUGCCAAACCUUUCCUGCGUGUUGUUCGAAGUAGCACAGUGUAAUGGGAGCCCUGUGCUCCAAGGUGACCCAGGGGUGAGUGACAUCAAAGCUCCCCAUGUUCUCAGAGGAAAUGAAAAUGAGCAUUUUUGGAAACCAUAGUUACUUGCUGCCAAGCUCCUGUUGGUUUACUCCUAGUUUAUGUGGUGCUGUAAGUCAGGCUCAUCCAGUGUCUGUUGUGUUCAGCCUGAGGAAGAAGAGAAAGCAGUAACUUACGGCCUGUCUCAGCUGUUAAACCUCACAGGUCACCCUCAAGGUGCAGAGCAGGCUCCUAGCCUGGGACCUCUGUACUGUACAUAAACCAUUUGUUUGGUUUUAACAAGCUGGAUGUUUUUAAACCUUUGGUCUUUUUUUGACAGCAAAGAGAACACGGUUUGACACCUUGGUACAAAGUUGUGUGGAACAGUUGCACAGGGAAGAUCUUAGAGGCUGCUCUUUUAAAGUAAUUGCUGUGUUAAUGCAAGCAUCUUGAGCUGUCAGGACAGCACUAUCUCAUGUCACAGGAGGGAGAAAACUUCCUAAUGCAACAAGAGAAACAUGAAACUUCCUGAAUUUCUCCAUUUAAAGGUUUCUGCAUUGCUGGAAAAACCAUUAGUCAUGUUUACCUGACACUGUUUCUUCAGGGUUUGAUUGAUUUGUCUAAUAAAGGUUAUUUUCUUUAUAUGA